GAAACCCGGUGAUCUAGCCAUGGGCAGGUUGAAGGUUGGGUAACACUAACUGGAGGACCGAACCGACUAAUGUUGAAAAAUUAGCGGAUGACUUGUGGCUGGGGGUGAAAGGCCAAUCAAACCGGGAGAUAGCUGGUUCUCCCCGAAAGCUAUUUAGGUAGCGCCUCGUGAAUUCAUCUCCGGGGGUAGAGCACUGUUUCGGCAAGGGGGUCAUCCCGACUUACCAACCCGAUGCAAACUGCGAAUACCGGAGAAUGUUAUCACGGGAGACACACGGCGGGUGCUAACGUCCGUCGUGAAGAGGGAAACAACCCAGACCGCCAGCUAAGGUCCCAAAGUCAUGGUUAAGUGGGAAACGAUGUGGGAAGGCCCAGACAGCCAGGAUGUUGGCUUAGAAGCAGCCAUCAUUUAAAGAAAGCGUAAUAGCUCACUGGUCGAGUCGGCCUGCGCGGAAGAUGUAACGGGGCUAAACCAUGCACCGAAGCUGCGGCAGCGACACUAUGUGUUGUUGGGUAGGGGAGCGUUCUGUAAGCCUGUGAAGGUGGCCUGUGAGGGUUGCUGGAGGUAUCAGAAGUGCGAAUGCUGACAUAAGUAACGAUAAAGCGGGUGAAAAGCCCGCUCGCCGGAAGACCAAGGGUUCCUGUCCAACGUUAAUCGGGGCAGGGUGAGUCGACCCCUAAGGCGAGGCCGAAAGGCGUAGUCGAUGGGAAACAGGUUAAUAUUCCUGUACUUGGUGUUACUGCGAAGGGGGGACGGAGAAGGCUAUGUUGGCCGGGCGACGGUUGUCCCGGUUUAAGCGUGUAGGCUGGUUUUCCAGGCAAAUCCGGAAAACCAAGGCUGAGGCGUGAUGACGAGGCACUACGGUGCUGAAGCGACAAAUGCCCUGCUUCCAGGAAAAGCCUCUAAGCAUCAGGUAACAUCAAAUCGUACCCCAAACCGACACAGGUGGUCAGGUAGAGAAUACCAAGGCGCUUGAGAGAACUCGGGUGAAGGAACUAGGCAAAAUGGUGCCGUAACUUCGGGAGAAGGCACGCUGAUAUGUAGGUGAAGCGACUUGCUCGUGGAGCUGAAAUCAGUCGAAGAUACCAGCUGGCUGCAACUGUUUAUUAAAAACACAGCACUGUGCAAACACGAAAGUGGACGUAUACGGUGUGACGCCUGCCCGGUGCCGGAAGGUUAAUUGAUGGGGUUAGCGGCAACGCGAAGCUCUUGAUCGAAGCCCCGGUAAACGGCGGCCGUAACUAUAACGGUCCUAAGGUAGCGAAAUUCCUUGUCGGGUAAGUUCCGACCUGCACGAAUGGCGUAAUGAUGGCCAGGCUGUCUCCACCCGAGACUCAGUGAAAUUGAACUCGCUGUGAAGAUGCAGUGUACCCGCGGCAAGACGGAAAGACCCCGUGAACCUUUACUAUAGCUUGACACUGAACAUUGAGCCUUGAUGUGUAGGAUAGGUGGGAGGCUUUGAAGUGUGGACGCCAGUCUGCAUGGAGCCGACCUUGAAAUACCACCCUUUAAUGUUUGAUGUUCUAACGUUGGCCCGUAAUCCGGGUUGCGGACAGUGUCUGGUGGGUAGUUUGACUGGGGCGGUCUCCUCCUAAAGAGUAACGGAGGAGCACGAAGGUUGGCUAAUCCUGGUCGGACAUCAGGAGGUUAGUGCAAUGGCAUAAGCCAGCUUGACUGCGAGCGUGACGGCGCGAGCAGGUGCGAAAGCAGGUCAUAGUGAUCCGGUGGUUCUGAAUGGAAGGGCCAUCGCUCAACGGAUAAAAGGUACUCCGGGGAUAACAGGCUGAUACCGCCCAAGAGUUCAUAUCGACGGCGGUGUUUGGCACCUCGAUGUCGGCUCAUCACAUCCUGGGGCUGAAGUAGGUCCCAAGGGUAUGGCUGUUCGCCAUUUAAAGUGGUACGCGAGCUGGGUUUAGAACGUCGUGAGACAGUUCGGUCCCUAUCUGCCGUGGGCGCUGGAGAACUGAGGGGGGCUGCUCCUAGUACGAGAGGACCGGAGUGGACGCAUCACUGGUGUUCGGGUUGUCAUGCCAAUGGCACUGCCCGGUAGCUAAAUGCGGAAGAGAUAAGUGCUGAAAGCAUCUAAGCACGAAACUUGC
rnacentral:rRNA from 1 species